rnacentral:lncRNA from 1 species
CUCAGACCGGCGCUCGCUCGCCGGCGCCAUCCCUAUAGAGAAGAACGGAGGUACGGCCUGUGGUCAUGGCGCUGUUCCCAGCCUUUGCGGGGCUUAGUGAGGCUCCCGAUGGCGGGAGCUCCAGGAAAGAGUUAGACUGGCUGAGCAACCCAAGCUUUUGUGUUGGAUCCAUAACGUCCCUGAGCCAACAAACUGAAGCAGCUCCAGCCCAUGUUUCUGAAGGGUUACCGCUGACAAGUGGCAAGUACAUGACACAGUUAGUGCCUGUAAUUAGGCCAAGAGGGAAAUGGCAUCAUUGUGAUUCUCGAGUAACUUUACUAGCCUCAUUAGUAACCUUUAGAACAUCAUAAUUCAGGAGUCAUCUGAAAUCAGAGUCUUCAGAUGAAAGUGACACUAACAAAAAGCUCAAACAAACAAGUAGAAAAAAGAAGAAAGAGAAAAAGAAAAAAAGGAAGCAUCAGCAUCAUAAGAAAACAAAGAGGAAGCAUGGGCCGUCGAGUAGCAGCAGGUCUGAGACAGACACCGAUUCUGAAAAGGACAAACCUUCCAGAGGCGUUGGAGGCAGUAAAAAGGAAUCUGA